AUUGAACGCUGGCGGCAGGCCUAACACAUGCAAGUCGAACGGUAACAGGAAGCAGCUUGCUGCUUCGCUGACGAGUGGCGGACGGGUGAGGUAAUGUCUGGGAAACUGCCUGAUGAGGGGGGAUAACUACUGGAAACGGCAGCUAAUACCGCAUAACGUCGCAAGACCAAAGAGGGGGACCUUCGGGCCUCUUGCCAUCAGAUGUGCCCAGAUGGGAUUAGCUAGUUGGUGGGGUAACGGCUCACCAAGGCGACGAUCCCUAGCUGGUCUGAGAGGAUGACCAGCCACACUGGAACUGAGACACGGUCCAGACUCCUACGGGAGGCAGCAGUGGGGAAUAUUGCACAAUGGGCGCAAGCCUGAUGCAGCCAUGCCGCGUGUAUGAAGAAGGCCUUCGGGUUGUAAAGUACUUUCAGCGGGGAGGAAGGUGCUGUGGUUAAUAACCGCAGCAAUUGACGUUACCCGCAGAAGAAGCACCGGCUAACUCCGUGCCAGCCGCGGC
rnacentral:rRNA from 1 species